rnacentral:rRNA from 1 species
GGUGAGUAAUGUCUGGGAAGCUGCCUGAUGGAGGGGGAUAACUACUGGAAACGGUAGCUAAUACCGCAUAAUGUCGCAAGACCAAAGAGGGGGACCUUCGGGCCUCUUGCCAUCGGAUGUGCCCAGAUGGGAUUAGCUUGUUGGUGGGGUAACGGCUCACCAAGGCGACGAUCCCUAGCUGGUCUGAGAGGAUGACCAGCCACACUGGAACUGAGACACGGUCCAGACUCCUACGGGAGGCAGCAGUGGGGAAUAUUGCACAAUGGGCGCAAGCCUGAUGCAGCCAUGCCGCGUGUAUGAAGAAGGCCUUCGGGUUGUAAAGUACUUUCAGCGGGGAGGAAGGGAGUAAAGUUAAUACCUUUGCUCAUUGACGUUACCCGCAGAAGAAGCACCGGCUAACUCCGUGCCAGCAGCCGCGGUAAUACGGAGGGUGCAAGCGUUAAUCGGAAUUACUGGGCGUAAAGCGCACGCAGGCGGUUUGUUAAGUCAGAUGUGAAAUCCCCGGGCUCAACCUGGGAACUGCAUCUGAUACUGGCAAGCUUGAGUCUCGUAGAGGGGGGUAGAAUUCCAGGUGUAGCGGUGAAACGCGUAGAGAUCUGGAGGAAUACCGGUGGCGAAGGCGGCCCCCUGGACGAAGACUGACGCUCAGGUGCGAAAGCGUGGGGAGCAAACAGGAUUAGAUACCCUGGUAGUCCACGCCGUAAACGAUGUCGACUUGGAGGUUGUGCCCUUGAGGCGUGGCUUCCGGAGCUAACGCGUUAAGUCGACCGCCUGGGGAGUACGGCCGCAAGGUUAAAACUCAAAUGAAUUGACGGGGGCCCGCACAAGCGGUGGAGCAUGUGGUUUAAUUCGAUGCAACGCGAAGAACCUUACCUGGUCUUGACAUCCACGGAAGUUUUCAGAGAUGAGAAUGUGCCUUCGGGAACCGUGAGACAGGUGCUGCAUGGCUGUCGUCAGCUCGUGUUGUGAAAUGUUGGGUUAAGUCCCGCAACGAGCGCAACCCUUAUCCUUUGUUGCCAGCGGUCCGGCCGGGAACUCAAAGGAGACUGCCAGUGAUAAACUGGAGGAAGGUGGGGAUGACGUCAAGUCAUCAUGGCCCUUACGACCAGGGCUACACACGUGCUGCAAUGGCGCAUACAAAGAGAAGCGACCUCGCGAGAGCAAGCGGACCUCAUAAAGUGCGUCGUAGUCCGGAUUGGAGUCUGCAACUCGACUCCAUGAAGUCGGAAUCGCUAGUAAUCGUGGAUCAGAAUGCCACGGUGAAUACGUUCCCGGGCCUUGUACACACCGCCCGUCACACCAUGGGAGUGGGUUGCAAAAGAAGUAGGUAGCUUAACCUUCGGGAGGGCGCUUACCACUUUGUGAUUCAUGACUGGGGUGAAGUCGUAACAAGGUA